rnacentral:misc_RNA from 1 species
GAGAGAGCGCGUUUUAAUGCCGAGUAGGGCGUGAAAGUGUGUGUCUCGUGUUGACCAUUUAUAUUCAUCCAAAAAAAUAAUAAUAAAAUCAUUAUUAAAACAACAAAAAAAAAAGAGUAACUAAUUAUUAUUGUUUCAAUGGAAUAUUUAAAAAAUCGAAUUUAUCAGUUGGAAGAAUACACAAGUAGUAAAGUUAAAAUAUAAAAAAUAAUAAAAGGAGCAAUAAGGAUCAAAUAAAAAAAAAAAAAAAACGGCCACGCGUGUGUUUUUAUUUUGCGAUCACUAUGUAUUGGUGCUGAAUAGUCAGAGUGGUAUUCCUUUUUUUUUUUUUUUUAUUUAUUUUUUUUUUUUUUACUAUAAUUUAUUUAUUUACAAAAAAAAAAAAUAUUGUGUUCAUUUAAUUAGUGUGUAUCUCAGUGUAUUGUGAUAAGUGUGAUUGUGGUUGAGAUAAAUUAAUUAAAAAUAUUAAAAAAAAAAAAAAGUUUAUCAUGUUUCGUUGUAUUCCAAUAUUUAAGGGGUGCAAUAGACAGGUGGAAUAUGUUGACAAGCGUCAUUGCUCACUCCAAAGUGUUCCUGAGGAUCUCAUCAGAUAUUCAAGAAGUUUAGAGGAACUUUUACUUGAUGCUAAUCAUCUCAAAGAACUACCCAAGAAUUUUUUUCGACUACAAAAAUUGCGAAAACUUGGACUUAGUGAUAAUGAGAUUCAUCGUUUACCACCUGAAAUACAAAACUUUGAAAAUCUUGUUGAACUUGAUGUUUCUAGAAACGACAUACCAGACAUUCCUGAAAGCAUCAAAAAUAUGCUUGCCCUGCAGGUGGCAGACUUUAGCAGCAAUCCAAUUCCCAGACUUCCAGCAGGUUUUGUGAAACUUAAAAACUUGACGAUUCUUGGCCUCAAUGACAUGUCACUUACUAAUUUACCACCAGACUUUGGAUGCUUGUUGUCAUUACAAUCAUUGGAAUUAAGAGAAAAUCUUCUUAAAUCAUUACCAGAAUCAUUAUCCCAAUUGACAAAACUUGAACGACUUGAUCUUGGUGAUAAUGACAUUGAUGAAUUGCCUCCUCAUAUAGGAAAAUUACCAGCAUUACAAGAAUUAUGGCUGGAUCAUAAUCAGUUACAACAUUUGCCACCAGAAAUUGGUCAAUUAUCAACAUUAGCAUGUUUAGAUGUAUCAGAAAAUCAUCUUGAAGAUUUACCAGAAGAAAUUGGUGGUCUUAAAUCAUUGACUGAUUUACAUUUAUCACAAAAUAAUAUUGAAAAAUUACCAGAUGGUUUGGGUGAAUUAAAAAAAUUAACAAUUAUUAAAGUUGAUCAAAAUAGAUUAUCUGAAUUAAAUAUAAAUAUUGGAAAAUGUGAAAAUUUACAAGAAUUAAUAUUAACUGAAAAUUUUCUUCUUGAAUUACCAGUAACAAUUGGUAAUCUUUUAAAUUUAAAUAAUUUAAAUGUCGAUCGAAAUAGUUUACAUGCACUACCAACUGAAAUAGGAAAUCUAAAUAAUCUAGGUGUUUUAUCAUUGAGAGACAAUAAAUUACAGUAUUUACCACAGGAAGUUGGACAGUGUAGUGCUCUCCAUGUUCUUGAUGUAUCAGGAAAUAGGCUUCAGUAUUUGCCAUAUACAUUGAUAAAUUUAAAUUUAAAAGCAGUAUGGCUUAGUGAAAAUCAAGCACAGCCAAUGUUGACUUUUCAAACAGAUUUGGAUGAAGAUUCUGGUCAAGAAGUUCUCACGUGUUUUCUUCUACCACAAUUAGAGUAUCAUGCAACUGGACCACAUGAAUCAGGAAAAGUUGGUGUUGCUGUUGGUGGUAGAAGCAAUGGUCAAAAUAAUGAAAUGCGAGAAAUUGGUAGUAGUGAUGAUGAAAAUUGGCAAGAAAAAGAAGCAUCAAGAACACACUCUGUCAAAUUUAGUGAUGAUGGUCCAGAUGCUGACAAGGAGACACAAUUUGUAAGACAAAAUACACCACAUCCUAAAGAACUCAAAGCAAAGGCACAUAAGUUAUUUGGUAAAGGAAAAAAUGACAGUAGAUCAGGAUCAACAGAUGAACAGGAUGUUUCACAAACAUUUGGUCUUGAUAAAGCUGAAUUUUUAAAUCCUGAAAAUAUCAAUGAAGCUGAAAAUGAGUUGGAGCAAGAAAUAAUGUAUCGUGAUACAAAACAGGAUGAAGCCAAAGUUGGUCAGACGGAAACAUCGAAUGACAACUCGCUUGAUCGAAACACAGUAAUGUCACAAGAAAUUCCAGAACCAUCAUCAAUGACAGUGGUGAGGAAGGGGCUCCUGUUGCAGGAUGCUGAGGUCGAGGGUUCGGUGUCAGAAUCAAGGGGUAGGGAUGAAGAUGAUUCUGAGGGUGAUGAAAUGCAGAGACAUGUUGAAUUUAAAAUAACUGAAGAUGGUGGUGGUGGUGGUGGUGAUAUCGAGGGUGGGGGUGAAUUGGAUAAACCAAAUAAACUCCAUCGACGUGAUACCCCACAUCAUCUUAAAAACAAACGAAUACAUGCCGCAAUUGACCCGGAUAAAGUUGCCUCAAUCAUCAAACAGGCACUUAAGAAAAAAAAUGAAGAAGUGACUAGUCUUCCAAGUGAAUCCGUUGACACAUAUGACAAUCAAGGGGCUACAUCAGAUGUUGAGCCGUCCUUAGAAGUACGAGAAGAUCAAUAUGAAAUUCAUAUUGAAAGAACAACGGGAGGUCUAGGCUUGUCAAUUGCCGGUGGAAUUGGUUCAACUCCUUUCAAAGGUGAUGACGAAGGCAUUUUCAUAUCCAGGGUUACUGAAGGUGGUCCAGCGGAUUUAGCGGGUUUGCGGGUUGGUGAUAAAGUUAUAACAGUUAAUGGAAUAUCAGUUAUCGAUGCUGACCAUUAUGAUGCAGUUGAAGUUUUAAAAGCUUGUGGUCGUGAACUCAUUCUUGUUAUUAAUCGUGAGGUCACACGAACUGUACCACCAUCAGAACAGCUUUCAACGAGAAAAGACUCAAUUUGUUCGAGCCUGAGCACAAGUCGUGCGCCAAGUGCAACAUCGUAUGUUUCAUCAAAUACAUUUUCCCAUAAUCAUGAAAAUGGUGACAGCCUACCUCGUGAUCUAUCAAAGACAAAAAAAAUACCAGAACCACUGCCAACACUAAGAACAUCAUCAGAGCUACUUGUUCCUGUUCUUGUACAUACAACACUUAUUAGAGAUCAAAAUGGACUUGGAUUUAUCAUUGCUGGUGGUAAAGGUUCACCUCCUCUAAAAGAAAAUACUGAAGCCAUAUUUAUUUCACGAAUAACUGAUGGUGGAGUUGCACAAAAAGAUGGAAAAUUAAUGGUUGGAGAUAAAGUUAUUUCAAUAAAUGGAGUUGAAGUUAAUAAUGCCAAGCAUGAACAAGCCGUUCAAAUGUUAACAGGUCUUGAAAGAUUUGUACGUCUUGUUGUUGAACGUGAAAUUCCAUUAUCACAAGCAAAUACAACAUUACAAUUAACACCUGGUGAAAAAUCACCUCACGUUAUUGGUGGUACUGGUCCACGUCCAUACACUGGUUUAUAUUCAGCCAAUAGUUAUAUGGCAAAUCGUCCUGGCUAUACAAGUGGUUAUCGUCGUUCAAUAGAUGCUGAUAAAAUAUUAACAAGUCCAACAUCAAAAACUCCACCACCAUUAAAUUCAUUAAAAAUUGAUACAACACCAACAAUAAAUGGUGUUGCUAAAAUGAAUGGAACAAGUGAAAAUAUAAAUAAUAAAGCACCACAACCAGCACCAAGGAUGACUGCACCACCACCAGCUCCACCACGUACUACAACAACACCAACAUCAACAAAUGAUAAUAAUACAAUGACAAAAUCAACAAUUCAACAGGACAACAAUAAUCAUGGACAGGAUACAAAUGAAACAAGACCAACAUCAUCACAAGAAGAUAUACAGGUACCGAAGCCAAUCACCAACGAGGAAUUUCAGGCCAUGAUUCCUGCACAUUUCCUACGUACAUCAAAUUCCACAUCCCCAUCAGACCUUGUAUCCCAACAGGGCCCAGUCGUCACUGUUACAAUCAAGCAGCCUGAUAAUUUACAUAGUGAUGUUAAUUUUCCACCGGCUCCUACAACACUUGGUAAAGUUACCGAAGUCAUCACUAAGAGUACACUCACCGAAACUGUUGUCACACGUGUCACUGACAAUCAUCUGUUGCUGCCGGUUAUAAUUGAGGAGGUUGUUCUGAUGAAGGAAGGUUCUCUUGGAUUUAGUAUCAUUGGUGGAACUGAUCAUUCAAGUACACCAUUUGGUGAUAAAGAGCCUGGUAUUUUCAUAUCACAUGUUGUACCAGGUGGUAUAGCUGCAAAAUCCGGUAAGCUUAAAAUGGGUGACAGGAUUUUAAAAGUAAAUGGAACAGAUUUGACAAAAGCAACCCAUGAAGAAGCUGUGUUAGAAUUACUACGACUUGGUGAUUCAAUUGCUCUCACUAUUCAACAUGAUCCAUUACCAGAAGGCUAUCAGCUGGUCGAUUUACAGUACAUUACCGCGACAGAACUUGUUAUUACCAAAUUACCUGGUGAAAGACUUGGAAUGCAUAUUAAAGGUGGACAACAAGGACAACAUGGUAAUCCACUUGAUCAUUCAGAUGAGGGUGUAUUUAUUUCAAAAAUUAAUUCUGCUGGUGCUGCUAGACGUGAUGGUAGAUUAAAGGUUGGAAUGAGAUUGCUUGAAGUAAAUGGUAAAUCACUGUUAGGAGCAUCGCAUGUUCAAGCUGUGACAGCUUUGCGUUCAGCACCAGAGACAAUAACUCUUGUUGUAUGCAAGGGUUAUGAUCGUAAUGAAGUUGAGAAAGUCUUGUCAUUGUCAGGUGGAAGAGAUUCAAAAGAAUCAAAAGGUUCACAGCAUGAUAAUAAAGAUUACUCAGCAGAUGGUAUGAAAUCAAUGUCACAAAGUAUAUCAAGUCUUGAUAGAGACGAUGAGGAUGCUAUGACAAUGAAACAAGAACAUGAAAUGAAAGCAGAAUUAGUUGCUUGGGAACAAGAAGAACGUGAACGUGCUCUUCUUGAACACAAGGAAAAAUCUACACCUGAAAAGGUUUUAGAUGUAGUGAGAGCAGCUGAGUCAUUAGUCAACAAGCCAAAUAGUCCAGUUGAUAUGCCAGUACCACCAAAAUCACCUGGAGGAACUAAAGAUCUUAAAACAACAACAAUUGUCAUGAGUAAACAUACAUUAGCACCACAGAAUCCUCCAACUGCCUUAACGCUGUCAUUAUUAAGACAUGAUGAUCCUGGUACAUCUGUGGAUACUCCAUCAAGAUCUUCAAGUCCUACAAUUAAUAAUAAAUUCUUUGCAAUGACAAGUGAUCUUGAUGAUAAAAAAUUAAAAUCUCAUACUACUAAAAAUAAUAAUAAAAAUACAAAAGAACGCUGUAUUUCAUUUGCAGCUCUUCCUGCACCUUAUAAAUCAACAAGUUGUAUAACAACACCAAUUAUAAGUUCAAUUCAAUCACGAACAAAAUCUAUGCAUGAAUUAUCAACAAAUAAUAGUAAUAACAAUAAUAAUAAUAAUAAUAAUAUUAACAAUAGAAAUUCAACUAUUGAAACAAUGAAAACAACUUCACGUUUUCGAUUGCCUCCAACGCCACUUACAAAUCCUGGUUUAACUGAAGAAUCAGUUGUACCUAAAUUAUUUAGUAAACAACAGAUUGCACGUUCUGUUGAUGGAAUAUAUCGGGUUGAGCCUGAACCAACACCACCAGCAACACCAGUUAAAAUGUCUGUGAGUGAUCGUAAACGUAUGUUUGAAAAUGCCGUUGAAGAGCAUUUAAAACCAUCACCAAAAACUGAUAAAAUAUUUAGUUUUUUGAGUCAAGAUGAAGUUGAAAAAAUGAAACAAGAAGAAGAAAAAAAAAUAGCAACAUUAACAAGAGAUGAACUUAAAUCAUGGGCACAAAUUGAUGAAAUUGAAGGAUUAGAUGAGUCGGAAGAUAUAUUAGAUGAUCAUAACAAUAGAAGACCUAAUAGCAGAUUAAGCACAAGAAGCUCAUCACUUCCGGGAGUUCCAAGUAUUGUUAGAACAGUCAAAGCAGAAAAACGUCUCAAAGAAAAAAUGAUACAAGAGGGUUUAAUUUCAGAUGAAGAUGAUGAAGAAAGUAACUUGAGCCCAGCUGAACAACGAGCUUUAAGAGCUGAAAAACGAGCUCUAUGGCGACAGGCUAGAUUAAAAUCACUUGAACAGGAUGCAUUGCAAGCUCAAAUGGUCAUUAAAAAAAUGAAUGAAAUGGUGGAUAAUUCAACUAAAUCAGAUAGUAUUGCAGUAAGCCAAGUUGAUGCACCAACACUACUUGAAAAAAAUACUGAGAUAUCAACUCACACGCUUGGAAUGCCACUCACAAUGCCUUGAGUUACGUCAUUUCAUUAAUCACUGAUUCAAUUGAAUUUGUCUUCGCUUCUUAUACUAAUUGGUUGAAACAUUACGUGAUAAAAUAAUAUCCUUGGAGCUGAGUAAUGCUGAUGAAGAUAUUGAUAAUGAAAAAUUAGAAACAUGUGCAAGUGAUGCUGAAAGUGAAAGUGAAGAUAUU